CACAUUGCACUUGAAUCAAUCUUCCUGUUAUAGAUUUCACACUUAUACUUCCUUUCGAGCUCAGUCAAGGAAAUAGUCAACAUUAGUAAAAAAGAGUCAAAUACGAUUGCAUACGUGGGUAAGAGGAACGUCUCGUCGCGUGGCUUCCACGAGCACCAUGCAAGGGAUGCGUGGAGCCACGGCCACCUCAGCUGCCACCUCGACCUGGCACGUCCACGUAAGAUUACGUGCCCCUGUAUUUCUACCGCGACUGAAUCUCAGUGCUUAUUCUAUCCCUCUCUCGCUUUCUUUCUCACUCUCUUCUCUCCUGAGAAGAAGUCCUCUCUACAAUGGCACUGCGAGAUUCUUUGUUUGCAAAGUUUGUCUUCGUGCAUGGGGAUGACGACGAUGACAAUCCCCCGGAUCUCGCGCCCGCCGCCUCAGAAGUUCAUGCAUUGUCUCCUUGUCUCCUGGGGGAAGACCAAAUGGUUCCAAGGAUCAUCUAUGAGGCUCACUGCGGAAAUCGCGAUCGCCAAGUAAGUUCUAUUCCCUUUUCCUCUUUUGAUGUUUCCAAUUUGAUUCACUGUGUUCACUGUGUUCCUUGAUCAAUGCAGCGAGAUCAAACUCCUCCAACAGUUCGCAUUGGGAUCUGAGAACGCUGGUCCUUUCACCGCUCUAAUUCAAAUCCCUCUUGCCUGUAUCUCAUCCUUCUCCUUCUUUGCGGAUCGGAGAAGCCAGAAAAAGCUAGUUGUCAAGGAUCUAUGACGAACUAUAAACUCUCGCCUUUUGUUGUAACCUCCGAGAAUAAUACCAAUCCACGAUCGCUUCUCUUCGAGUUUGAGUCGAUCGUUUCAGUUUUUUAGCUCGGGCUUUCGACUUUGGAGCCAUGCCUUGGCUGCUUCUCCGCUAGCAAUGAAGUAUCCCCCUGGACGACGGUUUUCCUCGAACGGAGAAUCCAUGCCUUUCAACACUCCCCCCACGAACUCGCUCAGGCUGACGCUGUUGGUCGCUUCUUUCGCUCUUCCAGUCCCGGUUUCCACCAUGAGAUCCUCCGGGAACUCGUCGCCAUUCUCCGCCGCAGUGGCUAAGCUCUCGAUCCAAGCCUCCAGCGCGCACUCGGCGGCAGCGAACGAGAGAGUUCUCAAGUUGAGUUGCCACAACGACGGUAAGGUGGUGUGGAGCCCGUGAUACAAACCAGCCGAGACUCCGCUGGAAAGUAUCGCUCGAGCAGCGUUUCUGGAUCCCAGAACGCAGCAAAAGUCUAUCACCGCGUUGCACAUCGGCCUCCUCGACGGAGCCGUGAUCUCCCGCAGCAAAAACUCGGUGGUCUCGGAAGCGAUGUCAUCAAAGUCAUCGUCUUCUUUGGCUAGAACUAGCAGCCGGGACAAAAGCUCGUGGAGCCGGGGCUUGAUCUUCUUCACGCACUCGAGGACGCCGAGCCGGGUUUCGUCACUUAUCUGCGACGAAGAGGCGCACGAGACGAGCAUCCCGCUCAUCCUCUCGUUCACAGAGCAGCCAUUCGCGAUCAUCUCGUCAAAGAUCCCGGGUAUGCGAUCGAAGUCCCCGGCCUGCUUGGAGGCCUUGAUGAGCAUCGUGUAGAAGGCCGCCUUUGGAAACACGGCCAAGUUCUUGAGCUUGUCAAACAUGGCCCGGACCUCUGCCACCAUGCCUUUGGUCGCGUAGACAUUCAUCAAAAUCCCAUAAGUCAUAUGAUCCGGCCACUGCUUCUCCCUCUCCAUCUCCGCGAUCAAGCUCUCAGCCCUCUGGAUGUUGCCGCUCUCCACACACGACUUGAGCAGCGUGUUGUAGACGAGGACGUCGAGCUUCCAUUUCUUCUGCUUGAUGGUGUCGUAGACGUCCAGGGCCUUGUCGAGCGCGCCAACUUUGGUGUACAUGUCGAUGAGGAUGCUGAGAGUUAUCUCCGACGGCUCCAGGCCAUAGCUCGCCAUCUCGUCAAACAUCCCUUUGGCGAGCGUGACUUUCCCAGCUCGUCCUAGCGUUCCAAUCAGAGUGUUGAAGAGAACCACGUUUGGCUUGAUCUCGGCUUGUUCCAUGUCUCGGAAGAGCCUCAAGAUCGCCUGGUAAUCCCCGACUCUCGAGUAGACGUUCGCGAUCACUCCAAACGAGACCAAGUCGGGCUUCCAGUUGUUCUUUCGCAUUGUCUGGUAGAGAUCCAUGGCCUCGGCCGUUCUUCCGGCCUUCCCGUAGAGGUCGAUCAUGGCACUGUACGUAACUCCGUCGAAAGAAACUCCGGUUUCACGAAGCCGGUGGAACCAGGCUAUGGCGUCCUCGGCUUGAUCGCAGCGCUUGGAACAGCUGACAAAGAUGCUGAAAGUGUAGUUGUCCGGCAUGAUCCUCUCCUCGAGCAUCUCCUUGAGAAGUUCUUCCGACAAGCUCCACUGUUCUCCGUCGCGUAGCAGCUUGAGCAUCAUGUUGUAUGCGAAGACAGUGAUCUCGCAAACGUCACGCCGGGACCUCGCCCACCGGAAGAAGUCGAGCGCCUCCUUCCAGUCUCUCAUCCCACCCAAGACCGCCACCACGGUCCUGGAAGGAAGAUGGCCCCCGCUCCACGACUCUAGAGCCGUGGCCAGAUCUUUCCCACGCGAGAUACCAUUUCGUAUUGCCUGGAGAACAGCGUCUGCUCGGCCUAUGUCCGGAGUCCACUUUGUGGAGCCGGGAUUUUUCCUGGUGUCCCCUCGAAAGUCACUGCUCCUCGACUGUUGAUGAUACCAAGUCUUGGCAGAUGGAGCCUCGGAUUUCUUGGGGAAGUUUUCUCCUUCCACGACUGGUGCUGCAUUGCUGCUGCUGCUGCUGCCGCCCUCGUCUACACUCCCCUGCGAGCUACUAGCGAGAAUUCUAGGGCUCUUGGAAGCAAUGGGCGAGAAUGCAGCGGCGGCGGCGAUAGGCGUGUAGAGCACCCAAGCCAUUUGGAUGGCGCGAUCGCUUCGAGCUCUGCGUGGAAUCAAAACUCACCGCGCGCGCCUCCAUGCAUUCCCGGGAGCCCUAAAACUUAAAAUCGUUUUUACAUUCAGUUUACCGGGUGGCAUUGUUCCAUUAUUAUAUAGCUUUCCACAACAAAGAUGGAUGACUCAUUUGGAUGACUUUCCUGAGAUGACUUUUGAUUUUUCUUUCGAGGGGAUAGAUCUAGCAUGAAACCAAACUUGUUACUCCAAAUUUUGAAAAGCAGACUUCCACGCUUGAGGGCCCAUUUCAACUCUCGGAAAUGAGCCUCUCGGAGACUUCAAGCCGGUUGGUGGGCAGAGUUUUUAAUUCUAACGAGAGAAAAAAAACGCCAACCAUACAAUAUGUGACUAUGGCAUUUAAAAAGCGGGUUUUUAGCAGGAGGAAAAAGUUACAGGAUGCUCUACAGGUUUUUAAAAAUGCACACCACAGGUACGAAAUGCCAAAGUUGGUGACCAAGAUUCACGGUAUUAUUAAGACAAGCAUUGUGAAUAUGGUGGAAGGCACUUUCAGGCUCCCCAGCACAUAUGACAAGGUUCUUUGGCUGUGAGCUUGGGGCACAAUCUAGUUUCAAUGACAAAACCAGCACUUCUAUUGUAGAUAAAAUGAUAAGUCUUAAGUGUGUGCUGCAUAUGGAUCUCCUCGUCAGUAGCAAGGUGAUGAAGAAGUUUUAUACUCAGAGCGACAACGUUGGGAAAGACAAGAGGGUUGCCAAAGUGUUUUUAAGGAGCCAAAGCAGCAAAAACAAAAACUAACAGAGAUGAUGAUCAUAUUGAAUGACAGAUUGAUGAAUCUCUAGAAGAGCGUCUGAGAGAGCAACUUACUGCAGCUGCACAUCUAUGAUUCUUCCUUGAUUCGUAAUGCUGACCUUCUAGAUGUUAUGUAACAAAGCAAAGAGAUUUGUGCUGUGAGUCAUUAGAUUGUUAAAAUUUCUAAUGCUUUGUUUGAAGUGUUUUAUCUUUCUCAAUGCAUUUGCAAGCCUAGUGACAGUUGUAUGUUGCUGAACGACUUUGCAAUUGUACUUGAUUCUGGAGGAAAAAUCUUACGUCACAAAGCUCAAGUUUCUCAUGCUCCAUCUCCUUGCUUUCCAGGAUAUAAUCAGCAAACCUCACCACAUUAUUCCAUUCCACCAAGCUCCACCGUUUAUUCCUGGGCCACCUUCAAGCCAUAUUUCCCCAAUUUCUCACAUUCCUUUUGCUAGUUCACCACUAUUUCAUUUUCCGCCUUCUUGUCCUCCUGGCACCUGCUGGGCCUUUCCUGGUUCUCAUUUCAGGCCAAAAGAACAUUGUAAAUCUGCUUACCGCGGAGAGUAUUGUCGAUGGGUUUAUCCAUUUCUUGUCUUCGUCUACAGCCGUUUGAUCAGGUUGAGAAUCUGAACACGACUAUAUCAAUAAUUUUAUACUCGUCUCUCGAAACAUGGACCUAUGGACCAUUCAAGUCCAAGAGGAAAAGUCGCUGCUUCCCUCCGUGUAGUCACUGUGCCGUAACUCUUUCAAAGCUAAUCAAACUAUUGCUCCGUCUCCAGAAGAAAUAAAACUGUUGACCUGGUCCGAUGAAGCUUCAACUUCAGUGCAACAGUGGAUCAGCUGUGCCAAAACCAAACAGCAUCCUGCUUGCAAGAAACAAGGUACAGAGCUAUUUACCCUUUCCUUCUUUUCGCUUUGUCGUGGAGCAUGCAAGAUCAACGCAGGACAACAAAAAUCUAGAUUGGAGGGUUGGCGAUUUUCGUACAUUUGUGCUUGCUUUUUCAAGGAAGACAAGACAAAGCGAUUUUGUUAUGUAUCGUGUUUUCAAAAGCAGCAGCAGUGCCCCGAUUGAACAGCAACUUGCAUAAUCUCGGCCCCAGAAAAAUCCUCGAACAAUACAGAUUCUGCGUUCACUUAGCCCAGGAGCUACCAUUCCCAAGUGAUCUGGAGAGGCAACAAUCUUGACCGCCAUCGAAGUUUGUGGUCUCAUGCCUCCAGCUGGUCGCUUAUGACCCUAUAAACAUGUAUAUGUAAAAAGCAUCUCUUGACAUAUUUAAAACGAAAGGGAUGUAGUCUUGGCGGACUACAGGACUUUUAGCACUUCUUCCAGGUCAACACGAUCUCUACGUAGUGGAGAAGAAGACAUGAAAAAGACCGGGAUCACAUAAUCAAUCUCAUCGAACUCUAAGUUUGAUCAUGCUCUCGAGAGUUUUUCUCCUAAGAUCACUGUAAGUAGCCCAGGACAUCGAGCAAACCCUCUGAUUCCAGCAAGGGCACCUCUAGAAAGUCUAGGUUAAGCAGGGCUUGAUCUUGCAUCAGCGCGCUCAUCCCGUCGUCAUCGCUGCUGUCCAAGGCGUCGAGAUUGUCACUGUUGUAGCUGAUGUUGUUACUGUUCAAGUCCUCGUCCGCUGCGAAGCCAUAGCUCUCAUGGCCCAAGUCUUCUUGGCGCCGAUUAUAGCGUUCUAGAUUUUGAGCAAGAUCGCUAUAACUCAUUGACAUGAACUUUGGAUCAUCUUGUUGUUGUUGUUGUUGAUGAUGGUGAUGCUGGUCAACUUGAACGGAUCCGGGCUCUUGCAGAUCCGCAUUCACGACCUCGAUGCUCCAGGAAGUGUGGGCACCAAUGCCGGGCAUGAUCGAGAGACUGCUAGUAGACGAUCCCUCGGAGUUGAGGCUGCAAUCAGUUUCGGGCGACGGGAAGGCGGAGAAGGACGAGGUGAAAGAUGUGUUGCGGCUGAAGAAGCUGGUGUGGGAAUUGUGUGUGUUCUUGUGUGUUACAGGCGAUUUGAUUGUCGACGAAUUGUAGUGGAGUAGUGGCUUGUGGUUCUUGGGGUCGAUCCCCAUGCCCAAGAGCCUCUUGCUCAGGUGGAAGUUCCAGUAGUUUUUAAUCUCGUUGUCGCUCCGGCCGGGAACUCGACCAGCAAUGAUGGACCAUCUGCAAACGAAUUCGAUCAUUGGUCAGACAAGAACUUGAUGAUUGACUCAUCAUGAUCAAGCUUUGUUUAUACCUGUUGCCAAGAAGAGAGUGCAGCCUGAUGAUGAGAUCUGUCUCGUCCUCGGAGAAUUUGCCUCGCUUGAUAUCCGGCCGCAAAUAAUUGAGCCAUCUCAACCGGCAGCUCUUGCCGCAUCUCAGCAAUCCUAUCGAAAGACAAAAGUUCAGUACUUUGGAAUUGGAUAGACACAGAAAUCUCAGAAGUUCUUUUUGCGUUUGAUUUACCAGCUGCUUUGGGGACUUUCCUCCAGUUGCCUUUGUCGCCCUGGCGCUUGAUAUACUCCGUGAGGAGCGCGUCCUCCUCGGGCGUCCAUGGCCCCCUGUUGAAAUACGCAUUGCUGCAGCAAGUGCAAGGCCCUCUUCCCAUAUCGAUCUCCUCGCUCGAUCUUUUGGAUCCAAUUCGCAGAUCUAGUGCGACUUUCUUUCCUUCACCUGAUGAUCUUGGCUAGAUGCUUCUCUCCAGACAUAGUAAUGUCUUUUCGAGCUUAUAGCACAAAGGAUUCAUACAAGACACAUGAAGAGAUCUUUAAGGACACUACGGGGGAGAGAAACAGGGUUCGCCUUUGAAUGCACUUAUACCCGGAGCUUGCAUCCUCGUGGGAAACUGCCGACUCCCCAGCAUCCUGGAAGUGACACUCAUGGAAAUUGCCCGGCUCUUGCCUAUAUGACCCGGCUUCUAUACAAAUUCUCGGGUGUCGGUAAAGAAAACACGAUCGGAUUUUUUUAAUCCACGUGUCGCAGGGUGGCAUGGCAUCAAAUUGGAGCAUCAAUCAUGCAGCAAUACAUGGCUCACUGUUCACGAGAGGAAGAAGAAGGUCUUUCGCUGGGGAACUUGUCAGAGAAGCAUAAAAAGGGAAGGCUCGAUUUAUUUUGCACGUCAAAGUCGCGAUUGCCGGUGGUCAUGAGACGUUUAGAGGUUUUAACAGAGGUUUGCCCGGUCAGUGUUGGCAUGCUCUUUGUCCAUAUGACCAGAUUUUUCUCGCAAUUUUCCCAUCACGUGGACACGAGGAAAACUUGACGGAAAUUGAUAAUUUAGGUCAUUGACAAAUCGACAAAAGAGAAGCGAAUUCAAAAAGGAUCGAGUGGAAUAUUCUGUUCUUGGCGGGCGUUUUUGUUUUCUAUCAGACGCACUUGGACGUUUGCUAAAUGCAAUUUUUUCUUCCCUUAGCCACGGCUCGUCAAAGAUUCCAAGAUUCCAGGAAUUGACCGAGCGCCAAAACGUCUGCACGAGUUUAUGAACACUCGUGAUGAUGACGUGUCAAAAUACACCUUCCGAACGACGUAACACCACCCGAUUCUUCUUUCUCGGCUCGAAUUGGACGUGAGGUUGAUCAAUCAGGUUUUUCUUUUCAGCAGAAAGAAAAAAUCACUAACACCUCACAUGUGAGAUAAGCUGAUCGUCAGCACCCCCAUGCUCCAUAAACUUUAGGGUACUCUUCCCUUCGGAUAGCAAUGUGCACAUCAUUGCAGAGACAGACAUUCUUAGCCUCCACAAAGGCGGCAUUGAGAUAUUCAUGGAUUAGCUGCCGAUUAAGAAUUCUGGCUGUCGCCUGUUAGGCGGUAGAGAGCGCGCAGUGCUAGCCUUGAAUCUCUCCUCUCUAAUAGAGACCUCUAUCCUCCUUUUGUGCCCGAUCAUGGGCCUUGGAAAUACAAUUGGAUGUGUCCUGGAGCCUGGAGGGAGCUGCAAAUCCGUGGUAGUGACAGAGAGAGUGUUGCCACGAUCCACCCGAGAAGUUAAACGCACUUUCAAUCCAGUGGCAACUCCAACUCCCCAGUUUUCGGAAGGUAUAUUCUGACACGUCAUCGUCCUACGUGGUCCCACGUGGCACAUGAACUUUGGAACCUCCAUGAUACGAUCUUCCCGCCGUCACCAUCCCGCCGUGGCGUACCUGGGCCGAUCUGGGAGCGAGCUAGGCAGCUCCAUAUCUCCCUGGAGCAUCGCGAGCGCGUGGCCAAUCCCGAUCCUCACGCCCACCAGCGGGUGAGCGCACAGCAGCGCCACCACCACGAACCUCUCCAUGACGCUCCACGGCCCCGCGUUUCUCACCCUCUCGUCCACCACCUCGAUGCUCUGGCCGCGCCGGACCAGCUCCCACGCCCAGUCCGCUACGUGAACCUGUUCGUCCCUGGCGCUGGCAACUUCUCCCUCCAGUUUUUCUCGCGAGCUUCUCGCCUCGGGAGCGUGAAACAUCGGCCUUCGCCCGCUGAGCAGCAGCAGCAUCACCAUCCCGAACCCGUAAACGUCCGACUUUGGCGUCAGGUGGCCGUAGAGGGCGUACUCCGGUGCCACGAAGAAUGGCGUCCCGGCCACCGAGGUGGCGCUUUUCUGUGGUGGUGUGUCUGCUGGGGCCGGGACUACGGCCGCUGGUACCGCUUUCACCAGGCCAAAGUCGGCCAGCCGCGCGUUGAGGCCCGAGUCGAGUAGGAUGUUGCUCGGUUUUAUGUCCCGGUGGAUGACCCCUGGCUGCAGCUCGUUGUGGAGGUAAUUGAUCGCGAUGGCAAUGUCCACGGCGACCUUCCUUCGCAGCGGCCAAGACAAGAACCUGCUGCCAAAGAGCGCGUUGUCGAGGUUGCCGUUUGGCAUGUAGUCGUAGACGACCAUGAUCCUGCUCUGCUGGUUCAGGAGCAGCCCCUGCUUCGCGUCGGAGAUCGCACAGCCCCGCAGCUGCACCAGCGUUUUGUGCUUAAAGCUGUUGACGAGUUUCAUCUGCUCCAGGAAUUUCUUCUCGUCGUCGUCGUAAAAGUCGUGCAGGCAGCUCUGUUUCAUGACCUUGACGGCAACCUCGCCUCGUCUCCGGAGAACACCCCUGUAUACUCGGCCAGAGGCUCCCUCCCCGACCAACUUACUGUGCGAGAAAUUGUUGGUAGCCGCUUUCAGAUCCUUCGCCUUGAAAACCACCAGCCCGGUAUUUGGCAAAAGGUUUGCGAGCUUCAAACCGUUGCUGGCGGUGUAGGUUGGUCCGAGCUCUGAUAAAAGAACGUCCUCCAUUGCCCUGUUCUUGGUGUACAACUUCCAAAUGAUGCCACCUAUAACGACCAGGAAAACCACGCUUGCUCCAGUAAGCACCACCGGCAAGACUAUUCUCAAACUGCGGCUUGAAGAGCCGCCUGUGGCAAGCGUGCCGGCGAUGUUUAUCCCCAGCAAGCACUCCACUGUCGAAGGUUCCGAUGGACCUCGAUCGUUUAUCACCCCUGCUGCGUAAAGGACUGUGAAGUACAGGCACUCCAGUCGACCCGGAGAAAUGCUGUUCAGCGUCCUCACCACCUCUUCCGCAUCGGCUACGCAGCUCUGGCAAGCAGCACCACUGGAUAAAUCCCCAGCGCACGAAAUGUCCAUGGGAGUCUGUCCCACUACUCUGUCCCAGUCGGCCGUCGUAGUUAUCCCAGCACAGAGAUCCGGACUUUGAAUGAAGCGCGAUGGACUUUCAUAUGGGACUGGGAAGCAGGUGCUCACGAAGUUCUGCUGCACAUUGUUUAUCGUAAGGUUGGAUUGGAAGUCGGCUAAGCAGGCAGUUGCGGUGGCGUUGUCCCUGAACUCAAAUCCACCUGUAGUCUUGAGAUUCUCGGCUAGAGCGAUACCCAAUGAGUUGAGCAGAGCGGAGCAGCAGACGGUCACGUUGGUCUGGAGGUUGGUCUGAUCGCACGAACGCAGAGUCGACGGGAAUUUGCUGAGAUAGUCGAAUCCCACGGGGCAAGAGGCCUGAGCUGCAGCAGCAGCUAUAAACAUCGUCGCUGUCACCAUAACUAAGGCCGCUACUGGUUGAAAGAACUUACAUGCUCGACGAUUCCUUCUCGACGCCAUCACCAGGCAAACACAGCAGCAAGAAUAUGCUUGUAUAUGCUCGCUGCCUAGUUGAAUAGAGAGGUGAGAAAGACGUAUCCAAGGGAACAAAAUAGCUCACCAAGUUUGAAUAAAAAAACUCGGCUUGCGUAAAUUACAAACAAAACUCCACGAGCUUUUGGUGAUUCGCCAUCCAAACACGAAAGCGACGCUCCACAGUGCGCGUCCUGCCAAGAAAGCAGAAAGUAGAUUGAGUUCACGUUUCAAAAACGAUCGUUUUGGAACUCACCAAAUUGUCAGAUAGAUUCGACUUGGACCGUCAAAUCUGUGAUCCCAGCUUUGUUGAGCAGCCGUGCAACUUUGUCUCGAACUCCAUUUUUGUCAGCCGUGUAAGCGUGCAAGUGCAAGCUUCCUACGAUUUCGCUAUUUGUGCAGCUCCACACGUGCAUCCGCUCGAAUCCAGCAACACCUUCGACGUGCCGGAUCCGCUCCAGCGCCUCGUGCAGCCGUUUCUCAACCGAUCUGGGUGUUCUUUGCAGCAAGAUCUCCGCGGAGUUAGUCAGCAACGGGACCGCGGAGACGAUGAUCAUGGCCGAGAUGAAAAUGGAGCACGCUGGAUCCGUGAGCAUCCAUCCCUUGUACUGUAUCAAGACGGUAGAGAUCACCACCCCGACGCUGCCCAGUGUGUCCGCUAGGACGUGCAAGAAAAUCCCCCGCAUGUUGUGAUCAAUGUGGUGGUGGUGAUGGUGGUGAUGAUGGUCAUGCUCGUUCUCGUGCUGCUCGUCCUCCUCUUUGCGAUGGUCAUGCUGGUGAUGACCGUCGAGGUGAUUGUGGACGUGGUUCGCUUCGUGGCGAUGGUGGUGGUGGUGGUGGCUGCAAGUUUCUUCAUGUCUGCUUUGAUCUGGAGUCUCACUGCCCGGAGAGUGUUGCUUAUCCCCGUCUUCGUGGUUGUGGUCAUCGUGCGAAUGAUGGCUAGAAUGGUGCUCGUGACCCGUGUCAGUCGAGUGUUGGUGUUCCUGAUGAUGUUCCUGAGAAGAAUCCAUAUGAUGAUAAUGAUGCUCCUCCUCCACCUCGAGUUUGAUGCUCAACUCUCUGCUCAGCUUUUUCUGACUGUGUCCAUGAUCACAGUGAUGCUGCCCGUGAGAAUGGGGAUGAUGUGCGUGGUGGUGCUCGUCGUGAAAGAAAACGAGCCCCACGAGGUUCACGAGCAAUCCUCCAACAGAAACCAGCAACAGCUUCUCCGUAGAAAUCUCUGGAGGGUCCAGAAUUCGUUCGAUGGACUCGAGCACUAUAAGGGAGCCGACCAGCACCAGCAACACGGCGUUCGCGUAACCCGACAGAACUUCGAAACGGCCAUACCCGUAGCCGAAGACUGCGUUUGGCUGAAGCUUGGAAAUGUACGAGGCAUACAGCCCGAUGCCCAGUGCUGCGCAGUCGAAGAGCAUAUGACAGGCGUCGGAGACGAGUCCCAAACUGUUGCUCAUAAAACCCGAGACGAAUUCCACCACCAUAAAAGUCGCGUUCAUGGCCAGGAAAAACGCGAUCUUCCUCGACUUUCGAUCAGCUGCAAUGUACCGAAGCGGGCCCUUGACGAAAGACUCCGAGGCCUCCUUUUCUGCGAUGGAAUCCCACGUAAAAGAGGGGCUGGUCCCAGAGGAUUCCCGCACAGCAAAGAAGAAGAUGGCCGAGCAUGCGAGGAAUCCCAGCGGAGAAAUAUCCAGCCCGAACACAAGCUCCAGUAGACACGCGCAGGAAAAGGUGAUGAACAAGUGCCUGGAAGUCCCUGCCGGCAUUUGCAGCCUGUCCUCGAAGUAAAAGUCUCCCAUGAUCGAUCGAGCAAGUCCGAGAACCAGCAUGCUACCCGCCGGCCACAAAGCGGAAGCGUGUGCCACGAAGAAACUCUCGAGCUGGAGGAGUGCCAGAGGAAGAAUGAGCAGCGUAGCGCAGAUGCUAGACAGGCCAUGAACACGUUUCUUGGUGAUCAUCCGGAGGGACGUCCGAGUUGACACGAGUUGGACGACGUAGCUCAGCAAGCCGGAUAAGAUUGGUUUCCAAACUGGCCUGUUUCCACAGCUUGAUCGGGACGUCUCUGCCGCUGCCACCUUUCCACUACUUGGCGGCAUCAAAAUCCUCAGCCUGUCCUUGAUCGCCAAAGGCGAGCACGAUUCCACUGUCCAGCCUUGUGAUAGUAGAACAAGCCCGAGAACUGUGAGCAAAACACCACGUAGCGUUUUUCUCUUUGCGUUCUUCCCGAGAACCAAUCUGCCUAGCACGGACCCCGCAUAGUGACCAAGAAUCGCUAUCAGCGGCCCACACGAUCGCACCGCUUCCAGCUUGAGGAAGACCGAGAGUGCGAGGAGCAAUCCAUUGGCAGCGAGAAGAAUCCACUGCGACGUAGCUAUGGACGAGCGUCGCAGCGUCCGCGCUUGCUUCUCUUGGAGGAGCGCGAAGCUGAUGGAGGAGGCGAGCAAGACGAGGAAUGCGAAGAUCACGGUGGUGGAGGGCGACGAGGACGAAGAAUGCGCUGAGAGCCACGAGUGAGCGACGUAGAGAGGCAGAGUGUGGAAGACGAGUAGCAAGAACCAGGCGGGGGCUUCCGGCGGCCUAGGGCGGGGGCGAGGCGUGGGAGAAGGCGAUGGAAACGACGAUGGAGGGAAUGGCGAUGGGGAGGGCGAGAACACCGAAUGGCUGAAGGACACAGAUCGAGUAGCGCGCGGAGGUACCUUGAGAGGCGCCACUGGAGGACGAUCCUGUUGGCGCUGAGGCUCCUCCAUGGCGAAAUCCCUGGAUCAAGACCGAAAUAUCAAUGAUCUUUGCCGCUGCGUAACCCUGAUCGCGAUCGAGAUCGCGCGCUCACGAGGCCGCAUUAGAGGGAUCCGGUGCCAUACUCCCUCCCCUGUCGCAAGACUAGGGUUAGGGUUUAUGCUGGGUCAACAAGGCGAGCGAGGGAAUGUCGUGGCUUAGAUCUGCGCUAAGCAAGGCCGCGGACAAGGCCGCGGAGGUAGGGAGCAAGAACAAUCUCAGUCGCACCGUGAAGAGCUAUGCUGGCGCUGUCUAUCAUCAAGCAGCUGGGAGCGCAAAGAUCGUCCAGGAUAAAUUGGUAUGCCUCGAUUCCUCGCGCUCUGCUAGGCAGCAUUUUUUUUCAUUCUCUAGAGAUAGCGCUAGAGAUUCUUUGCGUCAUAGACUUGCAGCGAUGGAUCCUUGCGAAGAAUUUGGAGCUAGUCGUCGAGCUUGAAGUUUUCUUGCAUAGGAAGAAAGAAGCUGUAACGAAUAGAGAUAUGCACUAAAAAUCAGUGAGUUCUUUUUUGAGCUUGUGACUCACAUUUUUCCUUUUUCCAGUCUGUGAGAAAUCUAAACAGCUUUAAGGAUGCUGUCAAGCGCCUCAACGAAGUCUCUCUCCAUGCAAGAGGUGCCGAGAGGCUUCAGGCACUUGGGAGAUGGCUUGCUGCACUCAAAGAAAUCGAUAGAGAGACUAAAAGGACGGGAAACUCGAAUCCAGCGUCUCCGAGAAACUCAGAGAGCGAAGAAAUGGCAACGUCGCCAAGGAGGCCUUACAUGGUGCGCACUCUUUUGUUUUUGCUUGUUCUUAUUGUAUUCAAUCUAGGCACUGUUUUACGACAUGGAGAGUGGAGGCGAGCCAAUGAAUUUUCGUGAGGUCUUUUUGCAAAGUCGUGCUCUUGAGCACAUUAUUACUUCACUGGUAUGGCUCUAUUCAAGUUGCUACCUUUUCAUGUAUGUUGUUGACAUGUCUUUUCAGAUUCUUGAAGCUCCCCAGGACGAAGAAAUUGGAGUUUUAGUCGAGAUUUUCGGGUAAACAGCUUUUAUUUUGUAGUUUUCUUUAUACUUAAUUAUUCGGGUGCAGCCUGUGUCUAGCGGGAGGACAGGAGCUGCACAACGCGUUCAUAAGCAGCAUUCAAGAUUUGGCGAAAGCGUUCUCAACACUUUCAGAAGAAGUUGAAGUUCGGUGCUUGUGUAUACUCCUUUUGGUUCUUAAUGCUAAAUUUUUUACAGAUAAGGAGAUCAGAUUUGCUCGAACUCGCACAAACAGCUGUCACUGGUUUGAAACUGAGCACGGAGGCAGAAAAGUUGAUUGUUUGACUUCUUGCUUUUUAUUCUGUUCUAAAGUAUGAGCUCUUUGCUGUAGGCUGGACGUGGAAAUGUUCUUUUUAGAGCAGAAGAUGUCCGACAAACAAGGUGUGCCUUUGUCCAAAGACAGUAACGAGGUUUGCCGAGAGUUCUUAUACUUACGGCUUCUUAGACUAAAUUUUAUAGGAUGCCAACAUAACCGCAGAAGUACUUGAAUAUGGAGCUCGUGUGAGACACUACUUACGGAGGAAAGAAGAACUCUUGCGAGCAGGAGAUACUGCAAAAAGCAGAACAGAGAAAGUCUGAAGCUUUUACAUAUCUGCAAUGAAACAUUAUCGUGCCACUUGUGCAGGUUCAGAAGCUUAAGGAAGUUACGGAGGGUCUGACGAGCUCAAUAAGUGGAAUAGAGCAAAAAAUUUCGGAGAACAGGUAACUGGUAUCAGUUAUCUCUGCAAUGCUUAUGUGUGCCAUGCACAGGCAACAAAAGGAGAAGGCUAUCAAAUACAGAGACUCUAAAGCUUCUGAAGUUGUAGAAACUGAAAAGGUCAGUAAGGCAUGGCAUAGUAGCAUGGUUUGAUUUUUCAAUCUCUCUUAUAGGCACUGUCUUCAGAAAUUCAAGCCCUCCAUAAGAGAAAAGAGCAAUUGGAGGCUGAGUUGAAGGAGGUGAGUCUUCUACUUCAAAAAAGAACUGCCUAAUAUAUGUUUGACAUACAAGGUGAAUAGCGCUUUGUCUUCUGCAACCGCCCGACAUAUCAACACGCAGGAAGAAAAAGCUCAGUUUGACGAAGCAAGCAGUAAUAUUGUGGCGCAUCUGUCCAUACAGGUCCAGAGCAAUUGUAUCUGUUUCAUUGUAUGACUUUCAUUUUUCUAGGAAGAAGAGUUAACGAAGUCUAUAGCUGCGCGGAGGGCUGAAGCAGGUGUAGCCAGCACUUGGCUAGGAUUUUUGGAAGACACCUGGCUUCUCCAGUCAGCUUGUCUUGAAGAAAAGACCAAAGCUAUCCAGUGAGUGGGACUAAUGCAAGUAUAAGCUUAAAAGUUUACUUACAUUGUUGUGCAGGCACGAUUCGCAAGAAGCAAAGCUACAGUUUCUAUCGAUUGCGUCAAUGAAUCUUUCUUACCAUCAGGUUUAGUUUACAGAUCUGUGUAUUUUCUAAGCUCACUUUCGAAUGCAGGAGGAAAUAAAGCUUUUGCUAAAGCGUCUAAAACUUAUCAGCAGUGAAGACAACGAGACAGACUCAACCAUCAGGCAGAGCUUCUUGGAAACUGAAAAUCAGGUAGCUUAAUAAGUUGACAUUUCUACCUGCAUUUGUAAUUUACUUGCACAGGUGAUUCGUGUUCUGAAACUCAUGGAGAGUUUGUCGGACGACGUCAAAACUUUUGAAAUAAAAGAAGACGGGUAAUGUGCAUUGCCGGAGUUUCUUUACAUUCCUUCUAACUAGCACUAUCCACUGGCAGGGACGAAGUAGAGAAAAAACUCCUGAAGUGUAUCGGAGCCAUCGAUUCCUUCAAGACAGAACUCAGAGGACUGAAGCGACCAGAGCUAGAAACCGGAAAAGUUAAAAGUCCAGUUUCUACAAGCCCAGAGGUGCGUGACGAAGAAUCGAAAGCGGAGCCGGACGGUCAAGAGGCCGAGGCAACAGACGGCUGGGAGCUGGACACUCUAGAAGAAGCGUCCACCUGAGAGUACGUCCUUGUAAAUAAUUGUUCUUCACGAUUCACGCGUGUAAAUAGCUUCACAGUUUCCCGAGCACGGGAGAAUCCUCAGACGUUUAAAGUGUUGGAGAGAAGAACGUAAGAACCGGAGCUAUCCUCCUCCUGGGAGUGCCGGAGGACUUGGCCGGCAAUCCGAUCGCCAUGCUUCGAGUUUCUAUGAAGAUUACACGCACCGAGGAGAGAUGUCCAGGGAACGCUGUUUGCUGCAAACGGCAUGGUGGUGAUGAGCUCCUCGGCUUCUUCCAGCCUUCCGGAGCGAGCCAGCAGAUCGACCAGGCAGUGGUAGUGCUCGGCAGUGGCCGUAAGUCCGUGAUCCGAGAUCAUCGACAUGAAAUACUCCCAGGCACAGCUUAGCAGUCCUGCAUGGCCGCACGCCGAGAGAAUGCUCGUGAAAGUCACGUCCACAGGCAAGACUCCUUCCAGUGACAUGAGCUGAAACACUUGUAGAGCUUCCUCUUUGAAGCCGUUUUGCGCGUAGGCCGCCACCAUUCCACUCCAAGUCACCACUGUCUUGCAAGGGAUCUCGUCGAAGACCAGCCUCGCGGUGCGCAAGCUGCCACACUUUCCAUACAUGUUGACGAUGGCGCUCAGCACGAAAGUGUCGGAUCUUACGUGACGGCUGCUCCGGACGAUGGAGUGGAUCAUCCGGGCCUCCGUGAUCGUCGCAAGAACAGUGCAAGCAUCGAUCGCGCUGACGAAAGUUCCUUUGUCCGGACGAAGGCCCUCGAGAUCCAUGGCAGCGAACAACGAGAUUGCCCGUUUGCAUUGCUUGCCGUGGACUAGAGCGUGGAUCAUCGUCCCCCAAGAGACGGAGUUCUUCUUUGGCAUCGUCUCAAACAGGUGUCUUGCCGCGUCCCCUUGGCCACAGUGGGAAUAUCCCGCCAGCAUCGCGUUCCACGACGCAGUGUCUCUUUUGGGGAUGCUCUCGAACAAGGCCACCGCAUCUUCCAGCUGCCCGUUCUCGGCAUAUGCUGUUAACAUAGCGUUCCAGGAGACCACAUUGCGCUCUGGCAUCUUUUCAAAUAUUUCCUUGCACUUUGCAAUAUUCCUUGCCUCCGAAUAUGCCACUAAAAGCGUCGUCCAGGAGAACACAUCCGGUUGUACCAUGGAAUCAAAAACAGACUGGGCUUUAUCAAGAUGCCCAUUGUCGGCAUAUGCUUUGAUCAUAGCGUUCCACGUUACUGCGCUCCGACGUGGCAUUUGGUCAAACACAUUUUUCGCAUCAGUUAACCUUCCGGACUGCCCGUAUGCAACGAUUAUAGCUGUCCAGGAGACGAUGUUCUUGAAAGGAUUCUCAGCAAAGAGUGUCUCGGCUUUCUCAAAUUCCCCAUUCUGGCAAUAAGCGCAAAUUAUCGUCGACCAAGAUACCCCAUCCCUUUGCGGCAUUCGAUCGAAGAACUCCUUUGCCAGAUCGAGCUCAUCGUUCUGAAUGCACGCUUGCAUCAUGCUGUUCCACGACACAACAUCUCUCCGCGGCAUCUCCUCGAAGGCAGAGAUCGCAUCGUAGAGGCGGGAGCUCUGGGCAAAUGCCGCGAUCAUCGUGUUCCAAGAUACGACAUUCUUGCUUGGCAUUCGAUCAAACAGCGCCUCCGCAUCCGCGAUAUGCCCGUUUUGGGCAUACCCGGCGAUCAUCGCGUUCCAAGCCACAGUGUCGGGAUUGCGCAGGGAAUCAAACAUCUCUCUCGCUUUUUGUAAUUGCCCUCUUUGGGUAUAUCCAGAAAUCACAAUUGUCCACGAGAUACAGUCGGGAUUGGGCAUCUUUUCUAGAACUCUGAUUGCCUCGGCGAGCUCUCCAUUGUUGGUGUGAGCUUGUAUCAUGGAGUUCCAGGCGACUGUGUUGCGGUCGGGCAUUCUCUCGAAUAACUCUCUCGCCUCGUGGAUUCUCCCAUUGCGGGUAAAUGCCGCAAACAUGAUGUUCCAGGAGAACUGGUUUGGGCGAUCGAUUCCUCGAAACACACUGCAUGCUUCAUCGAUGCUGCCGCACUUUCCAUACAUUUCAAUCAGCAAAUUGCUCAGAAACCUGUUGUAUCUUUGCUCGCUUUCGAGGAUCUCCUUGUGGACUCGCCUGCCUUUGCGCAAAUCUCUCUCAUGGCAGCAAGUUUUGAUGAGAGAAGCAUAGAGUUUUGGAUCCGUGGAGACAUUCAUAUGGUUUAAGGCAUAUUGAUUUUACUUGAACAAAAAUCUAUUGCCCGGCCUUCGUUCUAAGGAAACAAACAGACAAACGUACUUAGUGUUUUUUGACCGCCCCUUGUUAUUCACGAGCACGUCCUCUUCGCACGCAUCGAUCGAGGCCCAGAGAGUUGCAGGCUACGACAUCCCAAAGAAUCCAAUGCUGUUUGUCAAUGUCUUGCUUCGCUCAAUCACGCCCGCUCUGAUUUGCCAGCUACAUAGAGACGCUAUAGCCAUGCAACAAAGAAAGGGGAAUGUUGUUCUACGUCAAUUGCGCUGCAAGAACCGAGCCGAAAAUGUCGCAGAUGGACGAUUUGAGUGCUCAAUGUUAUAUUUCUAGUACGUAAUUGAAAAAAAAAAAUCUUAUAUAGUUUACCAAGCACAAGUGAUCAAAGCGCAAAAAGAGCAACAUACUUUACUGAAAGGUAAACACGGGUAAAACAAUGGACCGCAUAGCCGGUGUAUAGCUAGAAAUGUACCACACAAGUAGGAAAUUGAAUAGAUGAAGUAAUAUAACCUCUUACCAGUAGUAGAAUUUGUGGUGGCCCUGCUGCAUUCAGCUACUAGCCACAACAGGGUAGCAAUUAGUAAAAUAUAUAUGCUCCUCAUAUUUCUAGAUUAUAUUUUGGGUGGAUUGUUGCAAUGUUUUAUAGAAUAAGAAGCUGAGUUGUAAAGAGUUUAUUUCCUUUAAAUUUAUUUUGAAUUUUAUUUUAAGUUGGUGACACCUUACAGACAGUCAUGAAUUGUGCUAUUAGUGGCAAACAAAUGUUGAUCAUCAUUGAAAAACAAAAGACUCACGACAUUAUUAAAUUGUUUUUUUUUUAGGUUUUUGUCUGGUUGUUUAUCCUAACAAUUUUAAGUUAAGAAUUUUGACUGGAAUUAAUCAUUUUUCAUAAUUUUUUUUCAAGUUUGUAAAAUAUAAACAUAUUAAAUCAUAGGAUUAAUCUAAAUAUAUAUCAACUAAUUUAUUUUGCUUAAGCAAACCUGUGACUGAGAUGGUAGUGAAUAUAUUUAGAAGAUACUUAAAUAUUCUAGGAUAUUCUACCAUCUAACAGUUGUUAUUCAUUUAGAUUAAUCUUGUAUUUAUAAUUUAUGAACAUGUUUAUAAUUUAUAAAAAAAAUUAAACCCAUUCUAGUAUAUUAUUUUUUAUUCUAUCAUUUAAUGGUUGAUAUGCAAUAAGAUUAAUCUUGUGUUUAUAUAUUACAAACAUACUUAUAUUUAUAAAUUUUAUUUGAUCAAUACUAUUAAGCAAACCAAGCUGUAACAUGUAGCAAUUUAUUUAUAUGAAAGACUUCACAGUAUGUUAAUUUAUGUUAAUAAAUUAUUGUGAUAAAGUUUUGUUUAACAAACUUUACAGCUUUUCCUACACGCUCCUGGCCAUUCCUGUGUGCCAACCAUGUAACUUGGAUUCUUGUCACACUCUCCAUAUGCAGCCCAUUCUCCACACUUCUCAUUCUCGUCGGCACACCCCUCUUUCUUGGGCUUCCCGAAUGGAAGAACGUGAAUCCACUUGGUGGCCGACCAUUUCUCGCCUUCUAUCACCGGACACCCGCCGUGCAAGCUCGAUUCAUCCGGAGUGGCAUCCGGAUGUAAACUAUAGAACAGAAGAGCAUCGCCUUUGCGUGGUUUCACUGCAAAAAGGAAUGGCAUCAUUCAAGGCAAAGAUCCAAAGAGCAAAAGGUAAUGGUCUAACCUGCGAUGCCUUUCUUUGCACAGUCGGACCAGGAGUCAUCCUUAACAGUGGUGUCCUCCUAAAAAACCGAAGGAACAGACUAAAACGCUAGGACAAUAAAAUCUGAAUUGGACAAACCUCUGACGAGGGGAAAACUGUCUCGCCUCCCUUGACAGCGUCCGAGAGGUACAUGAGGACGGUGGCUAUACGAUGGCCACCGAGAGCUUGGUUGUAUUUAUCGUGAAAGUAGUCGUAGUGGGGCUCAUAUUUCUCGCCAAACUCGUAGCGUAGGACUUGGAUGGCCUCACCGUUCUCUAGAAAAACAAAUCCAAGGAUAAAACCUCAUAAACUUGGAAAAGAAACUAGAACCUUUUGGUAAGAAAGUCCAUGCGGCAAUUCUUUCCUCGAUCCUGUUAAUCACUUCAUCCUGGAGAGACAAAAGAAUUUUUUUUCUUUCUAAAACGACCGAGCAAGCGAGUACCUGUCCUUUCGAAAGAAACAUUCCAGAGCUCGUUCGAAUGUUGCUAAGGACACUCUUGCCAGACUCGUUGUCAGCCACCAUAGAUUUUUGGAGCUUAUCCUUCGCCUAUAAAACCGAAGUAGCAGAUCAUUCUCUUUUUAGAAUAAAUUUUUUUUUAUGGAGCUAGAGCAACGUACCAUCUUCACGACGUGAUCACACUCCGCAGCACUCAUAAAUCCCUUGUACAAGAACGCUCUAGCCAAAGAACAAAAAGAAAAAAAGAAAAGAAAGACCAAUUCCUCCAACCAGGUCAACUUAAAUCCUGGAAGAGAUUGAAGAACAUACCGAGGUUUCCAAGAGAGUUGGAUGACUUUGGUCGGAUCCACUAUGGAUUGAUCGCUCUUGUCGGUCACAGAUCUAAUAUUUCCAUCCACGGAGUGCCUGGAAAAGAAGAAAAAGGGGAAAAAUGGAGCUGGAGAAGUAGAAUGUAGCAUACUGACGUUUCCCCCAUCCAUCCUGGAAGAUCGUCCACAGCUCCGAGCGCCUGAGACGCGAGCAGCAACAAAAGCGCCAAACGGAAGGCCCCCUCCAUAGCGAAGAAAUAACGAAGAACCCUAAAUCCUUGACCUAAGCUAGGCUAGGUUCGUGGGAGAGAAGGCGGCGAUCGGGGACGAUGGAUGUGGUGACCAGCACGCAAAUGCUCGCCGGCCAGGGGAUUGACAAGGUCGUCGUGCAUCCGCUCGUUCUCCUCAGCAUUGUGGACAACUACAAUCGCGUCGCCAAGGAUACGCGCAAGCGAGUUCUUGGCGUGCUGCUGGGCGCUACCUUCCGGGGCCGUGUGGAUAUCACUAACAGCUACGCAGGUAUGGCCGAUUUGUAGGAGAUUUCGAGGAGAGAAUUUCUGGUUUCCUGGGGAGUCGUGAGAAUUGUUCUUCCUUCUUGCAGUACCGUUUGAAGAGGAUGACAGGGACCCAAGCAUUUGGUUUUUGGAUCACAACUAUCACGAAGCGAUGUUUGAUAUGUUCAAGCGGAUCAAUGGUAAGUUCUUCGUGUUUUUUCUUUGCUUGGCAUUACGUUUGUGCUUGCAGCGAAGGAGCACGUUGUUGGAUGGUACAGCACUGGUCCCAAACUACGUGAGAACGAUCUUGACAUUCACGAGCUCUUUAGGAAGUGAGAAAUUUGUUUCUCUAUUUUUCUUCUGGAUUCUAUCUUGCUCAUUUGUGUGAUUGCUUCUACCAGCUACGCUCCUAACCCGGUCCUGGUGAUCAUCGACGUACAACCCAGGGAGCUCGCAAUCCCUACAAAGGCUUACUACUCCAUCGAAGACGUCAAGGAGAACGCCACGCAAAAGAGUCAAAAGGCUUUCGUUCAUGUGCCAUCGGAAAUAGGAGCUUACGAAGCUGAAGAGAUUGGUAAGAGUUUCCAGAUUACUUAUCUCUUGUGUUAACGUUGUGUUUCGUUCUCUUUAGGUGUCGAGCAUUUGCUACGAGAUGUGAAGGAUGCUACCGUAUCGACACUCGCUACCGAGGUCAGAAUUGACAGAAAAUGAUCACACAAGUUUUUCCUGAUUGAAUGAAGACCUCCAGAUUGGAGCAAAACUACAAUCCCUGAAAGGACUUGAGGCGCGACUGAAGGAGAUACGUGCAUACUUGGACAACGUUGUUGAAGGCCGAUUACCAUUGAAUCACGGGAUUCUUUACCAUCUUCAGGUAAAAACCUCUACGGCGACUUAGUCACUGACAAGCUGUUUUUAAUCAGGACGUUUUCAAUCUGCUCCCCAAUCUAAACGUCCAGGAACUCUUCAGAUCUUUUGUUGGUAAGAUUUCACGCGUUUGGCCAAAGUUUUCUCUCUUAGCUAAGCUCUGUCCAAAUUUUCCAGUCAAGACGAACGACAUGAUGCUCGUCAUCUAUCUCUCUUCUCUUAUCCGAAGCGUCAUCGCUCUACACAAUCUCAUCAACAACAAGGUAUCGUUAUUGAAAGGAGAAAAGCUUUACAAUAUAUUUCUCUUGCUGUGCAGAUGCUUAACAAGGAACACGAGAGACUCGCGGAUGCUUCAUCAGCUGGGUUAGUCAUAACAGCUUCAGCGGGCAGCUAACUUUUCACCCAAGUAUGUACCUUUUUCUAUGGGAAAUUUUUCUCUCUUGGUUUUCUCGUCGAAGUAUUUACAUCAGGGGCCACAGCUAGAAAUCUUCUUGCGACGGUGGUGCCUCGUCGUCGGUGUGCAAAAACCGGUAAAACUUUCCAGUGGGAGGAAUAGACUUGGUGUUGGAUUUGUACAAGCGGCCAUCCCACUCGUAGAAGAGAUUGAGGUUAUCAACGAGCUUGUGGAAAACGUUGCAUCCUUUACACUGCACGAAGAGAAGCUUGCGUGUUUGCGGAGAGGAAAGAUGGAAGAAAUGGAAGAGUUUCUACCUGGACGAAGACUGUUCCAUCUGUGUAAGCGUGAGGAUUGAUAGCUCUCAUAGUUCGCGCUCCACAAACGUUGCAAGUAAACGCCACUCUCAUUCUUCGUCGCGGGGAUUUGCUGAGAAGAGGCCACUGGUUCUCCUCCGAGAGGCUUGAGUUUUCUUUGGAGGUAAAUGCCGGGCCUUCCAAGCCCGAGUCGGUCGUCCAGCCUUUGCCGCUAGCGGCUUGGAGAACCAAUCCCAUUGCCAUCUCCUGUGAAAGAAGAAGAAUUAAAUCUGCCCAAGGGAUGAUGAAAGAACUCCAAAAUUUUACCUGAGAGAGGGGUUGGAAAGGAUUGCUCAAUGGGACUAAACUCCGCGUUGGGUCUUGCUCGCCACCGGUGCUCCCUGCCAAGGAUUUCCAGCAUAAACCCUGAUUUUUCUUGCAUCGCCGCUUACCGGAAUGGAUGGAAUCAAAUGCGAUGUGCAUCGCCGUGCGGGAUGGAUGAAACCUAACAGCGGCCCAAUCCACGCUCCUGCUGCUGCUCCCAGCGGCGGUCGUGUGAGACUUGCCUGCGCCGCGAUGGAUCAUCGCCACCGGUGGAGGAGAGAUGGAGCACACCGCCAUUGCCACUUUGACAAAGGGUUAACGCGGCUCGAAUCGAAUACUUAAAUUUACUCUUAUAUUUAAUAAGCAAAUAUUCAGAACACGUGUCAAUCUCCUAUAGAUCCACGUAGGACGACAGAGUAAAAAACUUGCACCAGAGGAUAUUUUUUAAAUAGUCCUUAAAUGGCCAUAGAUCAUGAGUUCGAUUCCGAGCUCUCAUCGUGAUUGUCACAAACCUUUGCUAAAACUUCGCUAGUUCCCACAUUCUAAUCUCUUGUGAGUAAAAUCCUUCUCAAAAAAUGAAUCACGCUCCAUCUCAUGGCCAUCAAAUAAUUCACUAAUAGAGUUUAGCCGUGUAUAUAGUUUUUGUGUGUAAAUUUUACACCUAACUUUUUCACGCUUUUACAAAUUACACGCCAUAAUAUUUAUAGACGCGUAGCGUGUAUUUUCGUACACCGGUCUCUCUCGUACGGCACAUAGCAUUUUCUUUCUCAGGGGAGCGCUUCAAUGCCGGGGAGUCGCUCUCUUUCCAUCGAGACGGCCACAGCGGCUUGUAUUGCUAACGUAUUGAGAACUUACGCCAGAGUAGUGGCGCGCGCGAUUGAUCAAGAGUAGCCGGGUUUGCGAUCUCUCUUGCGCUGGGAAGCUGCUUCCUUUCCAGAGCGGGCUGAACGGUAAGAUCUUUUCUUUCGUUCCUACUGGUGUUACCACUUGUAGGAUCUCGGCGAGCUCCAGAAGCAUCCAAGAGUUGGACAAUCGUUGUGGGUAUCUUGCGAGGUAAGAUCAUUUCUCUUCUUUCUCGCCUUUCAUAAACUUGUGAUGCAAUCGGCUUGCGCAUUAAGCUAGUAGUGAGACACGCUGAGCCCGGUUCACUAUCAACCGAAGUUGUCUCCUCUCCAUCUCUCCAUCCAGAGGAGUUGAGCGGACUUAAGUCUUUGCUUCAUUCCUCUGUGUUAAUUUUUUGAUUGGUUUCCAGAGCUUAUCAAUUUCAAUUAUUCAAGAGCAGAACAAUUCUGGUUCAUAGAGCAGAGCACUACGUAAGAGAACAUUUGGCUUCCGAGAUCUCUUCUUUUUGUUUUUAAAUUCUAGCCAGGCACGAACGGUAUCUUCGUGUCAAGACGAUCACAGUGCUUUAGCCCGGUUCACUAUCACCUCCAAUCCAGAGGGAGGUGAGCGGGCUGCAAGGUAAUCUUUACUUACAUCUUUGUUUUGCUUUUGAUCUUUGUAUUAGUUUUUAUACCAACCAGUGAAAAGCUGGCUCUGGGAAUUAAUACUUAUGAACCCAAGACUUAUUCCAGCAUUGGUUCAGGCGAUAUAUUGAUCUCUACGAUCUUCCUGUUGAAGUUAAGUUGGAAGCAAGAGCUGUCAAUCAUGUGCAAUAAUUUUCAGUUGUUUUUAUGCAUAAAAUUCGAAAACAUGAACUCAGGCUGGAGGAGUAAACCGACGAUGUGACGUAUGAUCAAAAUGGUCAACUUUUACUUGUCUUGGAAGUUUUAGUUAGUGAGAGUAUUAUUUCCUUUUUAUCAGCACAUGGUAAUUUUGUAAGUAUUUCAAUUUCCUUUUUACUACUGAAUCAUGUAAUUUGUUUUAGAUAACCAUCAAUCCUUUUAGUAAAAGUAUGGAAUAGAGGGUUUAGGCACUUUCAAAUGCUGUUUCAUUUGGGGGAGCUCAUGCUAAGAACUUACACAAUAUACAAAAUAUUAGUGAAUAAAAGUUAUUUAUCAUUGUUGUGAAAUUUACUUUUACAUUUAUUAAGUUAUACUUGUCAACAGGAAUGGGAAUCACAUAUCAAGCACUCCCUUGCGUCAAAGGCAUUCCCUUAUAUACUAUUGAAAUACCAACACACUUGUUCUUAGCUCCAGCGAACACACCAAACUUUGAGAUGGGGUUAUACAUAGCACAACACUCUCUACAAUAGGUGAAAAAGUGACUUUAAAAUAUGGAAUACUUUAGGACUCCAACAACGAGAACCAACUCACUGACAGAGGAAACAAAAAUUUUGAAGUGUAAAUAUCGAAUAACCAGAAGAAAAAAAGAACCAUCUAGUAAGUGCUCUCAUCCCCAUCACCAAUCACAGGAAGGGCAACCUUUGCAAAGUCCUGUUUCGGUUUGUCUGCCUAUACUUCUAAGGGUGGUAAAGUCGUUGCUGAGCAUAAUCGACUGGAUGUAGUAGAGAUCAAUGCGCACACCAUCGGCAGGGAAGCAACUGGGAGCAGGCUCGUCAUCCAUGAUCAUGUCCUUGGCCAGCUUCAGCUGGAAAGCUGGAAUCCCCACCCUGUCACACGCACCAUCGCCAAGUCCCACGCCCCGCAGUGAUCCCCCUCGCUCUGCAACCAGGCGGCGAGCGAUAUCAACGCUGCUGCUCUCCAGGUCCGCAGUCCCAAAGCUCACUGCGUCCCUCAAUACAAUCCUCACACCACCGCCGGCGCCGCCACUGCUGCUGCUAGCACCACCAGUGCUCUUCACUCUCUCGAACAAGAGUGCCAGGAGCUGUCCCCUCCCCACGUACUCUUUGAAGCCCAGGUAGAAUCGGAUCCCUCGACCGAAGCUGCCAUCGGCCGAGGCGGCGAGGAACUGGUCCGCGUCGGCCACAAGCUCGAGCAGGGUGCGCGACUUGGCAACGCUCAGCACUCCCUGCGGCCAGUCAUGCCCGACCAGCGUCCUUCCCAUCUUCACGUCCGGUGGGAGCUCUAGGAGAGCGACCACCUUGAAAAAGCGAGGAGCAAAACGAGCAGAGGUGCCGCUCGUGUUCAUCCUCACUGUGCCUCCAACAUCCAGCUGGAAUGGCCCGCAUGCUAGGGUAUGAUCUAGGUGAAGGAAACCAUCUCUCUCGACGCCCAUGGCCUCGACGCACAUCAUCUUGGAUUUGUCAAGCACCAGGUACUCCUGCUUGAGGCCCGCUUCAUAGCCACUGUCUUCAAAGCUCUUGGCAGACACGUUCCUGACAAGAACAAGGUUCCUCUCNNNNNNNNNNNNNNNNNNNNNNNNNNNNNNNNNNNNNNNNNNNNNNNNNNNNNNNNNNNNNNNNNNNNNNNNNNNNNNNNNNNNNNNNNNNNNNNNNNNNNNNNNNNNNNNNNNNNNNNNNNNNNNNNNNNNNNNNNNNNNNNNNNNNNNNNNNNNNNNNNNNNNNNNNNNNNNNNNNNNNNNNNNNNNNNNNNNNNNNNNNNNNNNNNNNNNNNNNNNNNNNGUCUGCCAAGAGCUUUGAAGACAGUGGCUAUUUCUCGGGACUCGAGCAGGAGUACCUGCUGCUUGACAACUCCAAGAUGAUGUGUGUUGAGGCCAUGGGUGUCGAGAGAUAUGAUUUCGUUUGCCUAGAUCAUACCCUAGCAUGCGCGCCAUUCCUGCUGGAUGUUGGAGGCACGUUGAGGAUGAACGUGAGCACCUCUGCUCGUUUUCGCUUUUUCAAGGUGGUCCCUCUCCCAGUGAACUUGAAGAUGGGAAGGACCCCGGCCGGGCAUGACUGGCCGCAGGGUGUUUAGCAUUGCCAACUCGUGCACCCUACUCAAGGUUGUGGUUGAUGCAGAGAAGUUCUUUGUUGCCUCGGCCGAUGAAAAUAAGAUACAUUUGUCAUAUGUAGGGUUUUAAUACAAAGUAAUUUUUUAUCAUCAACAUGAUAGCCAAGAGCUUGGUACAAUUAACUGAAAAUCAAGUGGGUAUACAAGUUUAAAUAUUAUUUUUAAGAUUGUCUACAAAUGAUGCUCAUUUGUGGAUUUAAUAGUUGUUAAAUAUUCUGGUUGGGAUGAUAUAUGACAUAACUUCAAGAAAUUCCUCCAUAUGUGUAAGGUGUUGUGCUUCAUCAAAAACCACUAUUUAAUUAGUGUUUAAUAAUUUUUAUUAGUUUUUUUUAGAGAUAUUCUAAUAAGGUUGUUGUGAUGGUGUUAAAAUUACAUUGCUUACUUACAAGGGAGUCUACUAAAUAUUUUGAUAUAACGUAUCUACACAUAUGAAUUUAACAAAUUUGAGCCACUCAAGUUAGGACUGUUUAAUAAUUUAUAUAGUCUUGUUAGAAUUUUUGCUAAUGGGCAUCAACUUUAUAUUCACAUACACAUGAUAUUAUAUACAUAAUCAAAUUUAAUUGAUGUGGUAAUUUAGAUAGCAAAGUUACAAUAUCUAUACUCAUAAAUUUAUAUACUAAAUCAUUUUUAUGUAUUUCGAUAAAUGGGAUAUGGAUAUUCUCAUAAACUGACAUUUUUGUAUUUUGAAGAUUAAAAUAAUUUUUAUGUAUAUAAAGUGAAACUGUAUAUAUUAAAAUAGUAAACUAGUAGAAACGAUAAACUAAAAUAUAUCACACUAUUCAUUUUAUAAUGUUUUGAAUGCAUUAUAACAUAAGUUUUUAAAAAAUUAAAUUAAAUUAAUUAAUAAAAAAUCUUAUUGAUUUGUAAAAAAUGAUGUAAAAUGAAUAAUUUUUUAAUUGUUAAAUAUAAUUGUUAUAGGAGCCAUUCGCACUUGUGCUUUAUAUAAAAAUAUUUUAAAAUGUGUAUUUUAAUUUUUGUGACUGUUGCAUUCGCACUUCAGUAGUUUUUAGGUUGUUUUAAGCUUUAAGUAUGCAUUUUAAAACACUUUCAUUCCCACUUGCAUAAGUUUUUGUGGUAAAAAUUUAAUGUAAAACACUAGUGACUUCGCACUUGACUUACUUUAAAAUGUCUUCAAAAUAGCAUUCAAACAUUUUUUAAAAUAUUUUAAAAUUUCAAAUUCAAAUCAAAUUUGAAAUGCUAACCCUAAAUUUCAAUUUCAAAUUUCAAAUUUCAAAUAUUAAACUUGAACAUAGCAAUCACGCAGUUCUACGACGCCGCAAACAUAAGAAGUCGGUUAGGUUCUCUCGAACCUCCCGUGCAUCCUCCGGCCCACGCAAAUCUUCCUGUGGUUCUCCCUCAGCCACAAUAGGAUCCCCGUAAUCUUUGAAAAUCUCUGCUUCCUUCAAGGCUUGAAUGUGUUUCUCCCAUGCUUUGAUCUCGGCAUUGAUGUUUGUCUCACCAACAUCAAUCAAGAAGUUGUGCAAGAUGCAACAACUUUUGAUGAUGUUCGGCAGGUACUUCGGCUUGAUCCUUUGUUUUUGAUCCAAGCAUUUGAAUUUCAUUUUCAGGAGUCCAAAUGCUUGUUCAAUAACAAUCUGGGCCAGAUGGUGUUGCUAGUUGUACUCUGCCUCAGUCACCGUCAACAGGGAACCUGUUUCAAAUGAAUAAUUGAAAAAAAAAAAAAACAAUCAGCUUACCUAAGUGAGGGAUCAUCAAGUGCUGCUGCAGCUGGUAGCCUUUGUCUCCCACCAGGUAUGGCUCAAUCCACUCGUCAAAAGCAAACUCCCGAGGAACUGUGAGUAAUUCCCUUGCUUGGAUCUUGUGGCAUAGCCUGGAGUUCUGAAAAACCCUCAUGUCAUGAACACUCCCUGGAAAAAAAGAAAAACCAAUUAGAUGUAUAGAAGAAAAAAAAUA
rnacentral:lncRNA from 1 species